UGCCUUCUAGGAUGUUUGCAUGUUAACGAUGUCCCUGAGCCGAUAAGUUUUACCUAAGGGAAUUUAUCGCUUGCUAUUGCGCAAGCCCGACGCGUAUCGGGAAGCCUACGGCAAGAGUGCGAUUUCCGCCUUGAACACACGGUUGUUCAAGGGCUAAGUUGACAGCGGCAUUCUGGAAUGGCG
rnacentral:other from 1 species